AAAUUGAAGAGUUUGAUCAUGGCUCAGAUUGAACGCUGGCGGCAGGCCUAACACAUGCAAGUCGAACGGUAGCACAGAGAGCUUGCUCUCGGGUGACGAGUGGCGGACGGGUGAGUAAUGUCUGGGAAACUGCCUGAUGGAGGGGGAUAACUACUGGAAACGGUGGCUAAUACCGCAUAACGUCGCAAGACCAAAGAGGGGGACCUUCGGGCCUCUUGCCAUCAGAUGUGCCCAGAUGGGAUUAGCUGGUUGGUGAGGUAACGGC
rnacentral:rRNA from 1 species